AAAACAUCCAAAAACUCUCUCUAAACCCUCUCCAAAAAUUCCACCAAGAUCAUCAACCAAAUUCAAGGAUCCCAAGCUUUAAUUCCGGAUUCAAGAUUCAAUCUCAAGCAAUUCUCCAUUCCAAUCUUCAUCAAGAAUUCUCCAAAGUUGAGGGACCGGAGCACCGCUUGACCCUCGUCCUCCGCGUGGCUAAUACGAUUUUCUAUCAAGGUUAUUGGUGAGUCCUCCAUUCCGGGGACGUUGCUUAUGAUCUUUUGCUAUGUAUAAGACUUUUCCUUUUAGUUA